CAAGGAAUAGUUUAUAAAAAAAUAUUAAUUUUGGGGAUUGAUGAUAAAGAAUUUCUUUUUCCUUGA
rnacentral:tRNA from 1 species